UACGUAGGGACCAAGCGUUGUUCGGAUUUACUGGGCGUAAAGGGCGCGUAGGCGGCUUGACAAGUCACUUGUGAAAUCUCCGGGCUUAACUCGGAACGGCCAAGUGAAACUGUCAUGCUAGAGUGCAGAAGGGGCGAUCGGAAUUCUUGGUGUAGCGGUGAAAUGCGUAGAUAUCAGGAGGAACACCAAUUGCGAAGGCAGCUCGCUGGGACGUAACUGACGCUGAGACGCGAAAGCGUGGGGAGCAAACAGG
rnacentral:rRNA from 1 species